rnacentral:rRNA from 1 species
CACGUAGGGUGCGAGCGUUGUCCGGAAUUAUUGGGCGUAAAGAGCUCGUAGGCGGUGUGUCGCGUCGGCCGUGAAAACCUGCAGCUUAACUGUGGGCUUGCGGUCGAUACGGGCAUCACUGGAGUUCGGCAGGGGAGACUGGAAUUCCUGGUGUAGCGGUGAAAUGCGCAGAUAUCAGGAGGAACACCGGUGGCGAAGGCGGGUCUCUGGGCCGAUACUGACGCUGGAGGAG